rnacentral:rRNA from 1 species
AGGAAUAUUGGUCAAUGGACGCAAGUCUGAACCAGCCAUGCCGCGUGCAGGAAGACGGCUCUAUGAGUUGUAAACUGCUUUUGUACGAGGGUAAACGCUCUUACGUGUAAGAGCCUGAAAGUAUCGUACGAAUAAGGAUCGGCUAACUCCGUGCCAGCAGCCGCGGUAAUACGGAGGAUCCAAGCGUUAUCCGGAUUUAUUGGGUUUAAAGGGUGCGUAGGCGGUUUGAUAAGUUAGAGGUGAAAUACCGGUGCUUAACACCGGAACUGCCUCUAAUACUGUUGAACUAGAGAGUAGUUGCGGUAGGCGGAAUGUAUGGUGUAGCGGUGAAAUGCUUAGAGAUCAUACAGAACACCGAUUGCGAAGGCAGCUUACCAAACUAUAUCUGACGUUGAGGCACGAAAGCGUGGGGAGCAAACAGGAUUAGAUACCCUGGUAGUCCACGCAGUAAACGAUGAUAACUCGCUGUCGGCGAUACACAGUCGGCGGCUAAGCGAAAGCGAUAAGUUAUCCACCUGGGGAGUACGUUCGCAAGAAUGAAACUCAAAGGAAUUGACGGGGGCCCGCACAAGCGGAGGAACAUGUGGUUUAAUUCGAUGAUACGCGAGGAACCUUACCCGGGCUUGAAAGUUACUGACGAUUCUGGAAACAGGAUUUCCCUUCGGGGCAGGAAACUAGGUGCUGCAUGGUUGUCGUCAGCUCGUGCCGUGAGGUGUCGGGUUAAGUCCCAUAACGAGCGCAACCCCUACCGUUAGUUGCCAUCAGGUCAAGCUGGGCACUCUGGCGGGACUGCCGGUGUAAGCCGAGAGGAAGGUGGGGAUGACGUCAAAUCAGCACGGCCCUUACGUCCGGGGCUACACACGUGUUACAAUGGUAGGUACAGAGGGCAGCUACCCAGUGAUGGGAUGCGAAUCUCGAAAGCCUAUCUCAGUUCGGAUCGGAGGCUGAAACCCGCCUCCGUGAAGUUGGAUUCGCUAGUAAUCGCGCAUCAGCCAUGGCGCGGUGAAUACGUUCCCG